UCAGGUAGAGAACGAUGUAGAGGUUGAGAUACAUUCGGAGGUACAAGAGGAUGAGCCAUAUGCUGUUCUACGGGAGGAUGAGCCACAUGAUAAUGUAGGGGAAGAUGAGCCACAUGUUGAAAUUUGUGAGGAUGAGCCACAUGUUGAUGUACGGGAGAAUGAGCAUGAGUCCGUUCAACAAGAGGACGAGGAAACGACACAAGCCAGAGGACGGGGGAGAGGACAAGGACGGGGGAGAGGACGAGGGA